AUGGGGACACAUUCUUUCAUCACACGCUACUUGGCAGACUUGAGUAUUGCUUUCUCGUCACAUGAAAUACCAAAGCCAAGGACAAUUCCAGUGCGAGUACAAGAAUGGAUACCACUACCGGCAGGUCACCAUAAGGUAAACGUCGAUGCAGCUAUCUGUAAACAUCCUCAUGUGGGGGCCGUUAGUGCUGUCUGUCGGGAUCAGUCAGGAGCAUAUGCCCGGUCAGCGGCGGUGGUCUUCCAUGGUAUGACCGAUCCGAACAUCUUGGAAGCUCUUGCAUGUCGCGAGGCUAUUGCAUUAGCCAGGGACCUCACACUCACUCAUAUUAGGGUGGCUUCAGAUUGCCUCUUGGAGAUCAACGACUCGAGCAGGGAUUUUCAGUCCUGCUCCUUCACCCAUGAGAGACGUCUUUCCAACAAGGAGGCUCAUGGCUUAGCUAGACAUGUUUUACAUUUAGGGGAGGGUCGCCAUGUGUGGCUGUUACACCCUCAUGAUACUUCUAUUAUUCCUGUAAUCCGCUCUAUUGAUCAAUAA
rnacentral:rRNA from 1 species